rnacentral:tRNA from 1 species
CGCCUCGUACAGCGCCGUGUCGGGGACCCAGGACGCCGCCCUCUCAAGGCGGUAGCACGGGUUCGAAUCCCGUUGGGGCUA